UGGAAUUCUUUCUUGAUGAUGGCACUUGUAGGAGGCUGAUCACAUCCCAAUCCAAAUCCUAGCUCAUACACGUCACUAAAUGAGGAUAGAUCAGGAAUUCCAUCUUGGAUAUCUUGAUGCGUCCAGAAACCCAACUUGAGCAUGGUGGCAGCUAAAUACACUGCUAGUCGGAUCUUCUUUGCCAACUUGUGAGUUGCCUGUGUUAUGCUUAACCCUCCAGCGCUAUGCCCCACCAAUAUCACCUGUUCAUUAUCAGGCAAGGAAGACAUGAAAUCCAUGAGAGGCUUAUUGUAAUCAUCAAAAGAAAGGAUAGAAUUGGCAUCUGCUUGAUCGAUGCCUGCACCUUUGAGGUCAACACAAGAGACCUUAUAGCCUGAGUUCUCCAUGAGACACCGGAUUUUGUACCAGCACCAGCUCCCUCCACUAAUUCCAUGCACCAGCACGAAGUGUGGCUCUGAUGACAAAGCUAUGUCUUCCCCCAUGUUAAUUGCCUCCUCUCCCAUCUGCCCUUGCGAUCGAUCAGUUGAUCUUCCUUUUUUACUACUGAAAAUCAAUCACUUAGUUUUUGGAAAUUCAACUUUGUAAGGAUAGAAACAAUUAAUGGAGAGAGUUUGGG
rnacentral:misc_RNA from 1 species